CAAGUUUUAGUUUUUGGUAAACAUUAUUAUUUACAUUAAUAACAUUUCUGUUCAAAUCAGUAAAACUUGA
rnacentral:tRNA from 1 species